CUUGGUCAUUUAGAGGAAGUAAAAGUCGUAACAAGGUUCUCCGUUGGUGAACCAGCGGAGGGAUCAUUACCGAGUUUACAACUCCCAAACCCAUGUGAACAUACCUACUGUUGCUUCGGCGGGAUUGCCCCGGGCGCCUCGUGUGCCCCGGAUCAGGCGCCCGCCUAGGAAACUUAACUCUUGUUUUAUUUUGGAAUCUUCUGAGUAGUUUUUACAAAUAAAUAAAAACUUUCAACAACGGAUCUCUUGGUUCUGGCAUCGAUGAAGAACGCAGCGAAAUGCGAUAAGUAAUGUGAAUUGCAGAAUUCAGUGAAUCAUCGAAUCUUUGAACGCACAUUGCGCCCGCCAGUAUUCUGGCGGGCAUGCCUGUCUGAGCGUCAUUUCAACCCUCAUGCCCCUAGGGCGUGGUGUUGGGGAUCGGCCAAAGCCCGCGAGGGACGGCCGGCCCCUAAAUCUAGUGGCGGACCCGUCGUGGCCUCCUCUGCGAAGUAGUGAUAUUCCGCAUCGGAGAGCGACGAGCCCCUGCCGUUAAACCCCCAACUUUCCAAGGUUGACCUCAGAUCAGGUAGGAAUACCCGCUGAACUUAAGCAUAUCAAUAAGCGGAGGA
rnacentral:sRNA from 1 species